rnacentral:tRNA from 1 species
UAGUUCAGUCGGUAGAACGGCGGACUGUUAAUCCGUAUGUCACUGGUUCGAGUCCAGNG